GCUUCCUUGGCUCAGUUGGUUAGAGCGCCAGUCUCAUAGUUUAUGAGGAAUCAUUGGAUUCUUUCAUCUGGAGGUCAUGAGUUCGACCCUCAUAGGGAGCA